AACGAACGCUGGCGGCAGGCCUAACACAUGCAAGUCGAACGCUGUAGCAAUACAGAGUGGCGCACGGGUGGGUAACGCGUGGGAACGUGCCCUUCAGUACGGAACAACGUCGGGAAACUGACGCUAAUACCGUAUAAUGACUUCGGACCAAAGUUUUAUCGCUGAAGGAGCGGCCCGCGUCUGAUUAGCUAGUUGGUGAGGUAACGGCUCACCAAGGCUACGAUCAGGAGCUGGUCUGAGAGGAUGAUCAGCCACACUGGGACUGAGACACGGCCCAGACUCCUACGGUAUCCAGCAGUGAGGAAUAUUGGACUAUGGGCGAUAGCCUGAUCCAGCCAUGCCGCGUGAGUGAUGAAGGCCUUCGGGUUGUAAAGCUCUUUCAGGUGUGACGAUAAUGACGGUAACCGGAGAAGAAGCCCCGGCUAACUUCGUGCCAGCCGCCGCAGUAAUAC
rnacentral:rRNA from 1 species